rnacentral:rRNA from 1 species
UCUGGUGGAAAUAGCGGAGGGGUCCCACCCGUUCCCAUCCCGAACACGGCCGUUAAGCCCUCCAGCGCCGAUGGUACUGAGGACCUUGUCCUCGGGAGAGUAGGUCUCCGCCAGAA